GCCAGCGACGAUGGCACGUUGACUACACCAGUUCCCAGUAGAACACUGAAGUUGAGCAACGUUUGCGCGUGGUUAGUAUCCAGACGGGUGACCACCUGGACAAUCGCGUGCUGCGGGCU
rfam:Asian citrus Psyllid, Diaphorina citri - Florida Strain, whole genome shotgun sequence.